UACAGAGGGGGCAAGCGUUGUUCGGAAUUACUGGGCGUAAAGGGCGCGUAGGCGGCCUCUUAAGUCGAACGUGAAAUCCCCGGGCUUAACCCGGGAACUGCGUCCGAUACUGGGAGGCUUGAAUUCGGGAGAGGGAUGCGGAAUUCCAGGUGUAGCGGUGAAAUGCGUAGAUAUCUGGAGGAACACCGGUGGCGAAGGCGGAUCUCUGGGCCAUUACUGACGCUGAGGAGCGAAAGCGUGGGGAGCGAACAGG
rnacentral:rRNA from 1 species